rnacentral:rRNA from 1 species
CCUACGGGGGGCAGCAGUGAGGAAUAUUGGUCAAUGGGAGUAAGCCUGAACCAGCCAAGUCGCGUGAGGGAUGAAGGUUCUAUGGAUUGUAAACCUCUUUUGUCAGGGAAUACAACGCGGGACGUGUCCCGUACUGCAUGUACCUUAUGAAUAAGCAUCGGCUAACUCCGUUCCAGCAGCCGCGGUAACACGGAGGAUCCGAGCGUUAUCCAGAUUUAUUGUGUUUAAAGGGUGCGUAGGCGGCCCUUUAAUUCAGCGGGGAAAGUCUUUGGCUCAACCAUAGAAGUGCCGUUGAAACUGGGAGGCUUGAGUAUGCUUGAGGCAGGCGGAAUGCGUGGUGUAGCGGUGAAAUGCUUAGAUAUCGCGCAGAACCCCGAUUGCGAAGGCAGCCUCCCAAGCCAUGACUGACGCUGAUGCACGAAAGCGUGGGGAUCAAACAGGAUUAGAUACCCCGGUAGUC